rnacentral:rRNA from 1 species
GACGAACGCUGGCGGCGUGCUUAACACAUGCAAGUCGAACGGAAAGGCCCUGCUUUUGUGGGGUGCUCGAGUGGCGAACGGGUGGGUAACACGUGAGUAACCUGCCCUUGACUUUGGGAUAACUUCAGGAAACUGGGGCUAAUACCGGAUAGGAGCUCCUGCUGCAUGGUGGGGGUUGGAAAGUUUCGGCGGUUGGGGAUGGACUCGCGGCUUAUCAGCUUGUUGGUGGGGUAGUGGCUUACCAAGGCUUUGACGGGUAGCCGGCCUGAGAGGGUGACCGGCCACAUUGGGACUGAGAUACGGCCCAGACUCCUACGGGAGGCAGCAGUGGGGAAUAUUGCACAAUGGGCGGAAGCCGGAUGCAGCAACGCCGCGUGCGGGAUGACGGCCUUCGGGUUGUAAACCGCUUUCGCCUGUGACGAAGCGUGAGUGACGGUAAUGGGUAAAGAAGCACCGGCGAACUACGU